rnacentral:rRNA from 1 species
AUUGAACGGCGGCGGAAUGCUUUACACAUGCAAGUCGAACGGCAGCACGGAGAGCUUGCUCUCUGGUGGCGAGUGGCGAACGGGUGAGUAAUAUAUCGGAACGUGUCCAAUAAUGGGGGAUAACGAGUCGAAAGAUUCGCUAAUACCGCAUACGCCCUACGGGGGAAAGCAGGGGAUCGUAAGACCUUGCGUUAAUGGAGCGGCCGAUAUCUGAUUAGCUUGUUGGUGAGGUAAAGGCUCACCAAGGCGACGAUCAGUAGCUGGUUUGAGAGAACGACCAGCCACACUGGAACUGAGACACGGUCCAGACUCCUACGGGAGGCAGCAGUGGGGAAUUUUGGACAAUGGGGGCAACCCUGAUCCAGCCAUUCCGCGUGAGUGAAGAAGGCCUUCGGGUUGUAAAGCUCUUUCGCAAGGGAAGAAAACUUAUGAUCGAAUAAAUCAUGAGGUUGACGGUACCUUGAUAAGAAGCACCGGCUAACUACGUGCCAGCAGCCGCGGUAAUACGUAGGGUGCGAGCGUUAAUCGGAAUUACUGGGCGUAAAGCGUGCGCAGGCGGUUUUGUAAGUCGGAUGUGAAAUCCCCGGGCUCAACCUGGGAACUGCGUUCGAAACUGCAAGGCUAGAGUGUGUCAGAGGGGGGUAGAAUUCCACGUGUAGCAGUGAAAUGCGUAGAGAUGUGGAGGAAUACCAAUGGCGAAGGCAGCCCCCUGGGAUAACAC